rnacentral:rRNA from 1 species
GAUGAACGCUGGCGGCGUGCCUAAUACAUGCAAGUCGAGCGAACAGAUGAGGAGCUUGCUCCUCUGACGUUAGCGGCGGACGGGUGAGUAACACGUGGAUAACCUACCUAUAAGACUGGGAUAACUUCGGGAAACCGGAGCUAAUACCGGAUAAUAUAUUGAACCGCAUGGUUCAAUAGUGAAAUACGGUUUUUCUGUCACUUAUAGAUGGAUCCGCGCCGCAUUAGCUAGUUGGUAAGGUAACGGCUUACCAAGGCAACGAUGCGUAGGCGACCUAAGAGGGUGAUCGGCCACACUGGAACUGAGACACGGUCCAGACUCCUACGAGAGGCAGCAGUAGGGAAUCUUCCGCAAUGGGCGAAAGCAUGACGGAGCAACGGCGCGUGAGUGAUGAAGGUCUUCGGAUCGUAAAACUCUGUUAUUAGGGAAGAACAAAUGUGUAAGUAACUAUGCACGUCUUGACGGUACCUAAUCAGAAAGCCACGGCUAACUACGUG